ACUGAAGACAAAAAGAACGGAGCCCCCCUUGGAGCUGGAGAGAUGAUGGUUCAAUGUCAGGAACACUGCCUGUUCUUCCAGAGGACCUGGGUUCGAUUCCUAGUACCCACAUGGUGGCUCAUAAGUGUUUAUAAUGUAACUUCCCCUUUCUGGCAAUUUCAGAAUCAGUCUUUACAGUAGUUGUGAAUGUGCCCCGACUUAAGGGAACUUCAGAAACAAAACAAUUAGCAAUUGGGCAUUUAGAUCAUGCAAACUUCCACGAAGGGCUCCUGUAGCAUGCCAAGCUCACAAAGACCUCAUAAACUCAGUUCCCAGGGACGGAUUUACAUACAACUUGGCAUCAGCAGAGUCUCCCAAACCUCUGCCUCCGCAGCUCUGGCCCAGCCCACCAUUCCUGGCUGCUGACAUGGGUCCUGGGAGAUUAAAGCCACAUCCUCAAGCUUUAUGCUGAGGCCAUGGUGACAUCACUAAUGAGCUGCAUAAGGAAAGCUGUUGUGGAAGAACAGGAGACUCUUCAGACACGGCAGUGAAAGUCCUUUUGACACCUGAGUUCUGGUAUCUGUGUUUCCAGCAGACCUGACUGCAUGGAGUCACCACCCAGCCAGCUCACGGUCACAUCGUCAAGGUACCAGGAUUACUGAAAACUCACCUCAGCUAAUCCGUCAUGAGUCCCCUCUGUAGGAAACAUUCCAUGCUCUUUUCUAAAGGUGGAACGCCUUGCCCAGUUCUUCAGGCAAAGAGGUCUCAGUUAACAGGACAGAAGUGCCAGGUGAGACAUCGGUCACUGCAGAUCCAACUGUAAUCUUUCCAGAAUGCUGCUCCUGAAGCAGCCGUGACUCUUAAAAGAAAAGUGGAAGAGUUGAUGUGUCUCUGUGCUUCAAGGGGCUCCACCCCAGCCUCAGUGUCUUUAGACAGAUGGUCGUGAGGUCGUGAGGCACUGCGUGGUUGCUGGGAACUGAACUCAGGGUCUCAGAAAGAGCAGCCAGUGCUCUCAACUGCUGAGCCAUCUCCCCAGACCCCCAGAAAACCAUUUCUUACAUUCAUCGAGCACAUAUAUUUCAAAUAUUGUGUUCCAGGGUUACUUAGAAUUUUCACCUAUACUCAGAUAAAGAGAGUUUCAGCCGUUUUUUUUCCCCCUUGUUCUUUAGUCCCCUGACUCAUUGGGAAGUUAUUCUUGCAUGUGGUAUAACAUCAGGAUCUAAUUUUAUCCUUAUCCAAACGACUACUUGGUUGUUAGCACUGUUUAUUGGAAAGUUGUUUUGCUCCAGCGACAGGAGCUCCAGUGAAUGUCCGCAGAGCCGCCUCCCUAGCUGACCUAAAGUCAGUGGCUUUGUGAGUGUGUCCAAGAUACAUUGUUCUAAUUCAAGGGACUUCGGACUGUGUUUCAAUCCUUGGCAAAACUAGUUUCCCAUGUAGUUUUUACAAUGCCCUGUCUGUCUUCGCGUGUUUCUUUUUCUGCAUGCUUUAGCAUAAACUUGUCCAGCUCCAAAACC
rnacentral:lncRNA from 1 species